rnacentral:rRNA from 1 species
GAUGAACGCUAGCGAUAGGCUUAACACAUGCAAGUCGAGGGGCAGCACAAGGUAGCUUGCUAUCUGGGUGGCGACCGGCGCACGGGUGCGUAACGCGUAUGCAACUUGCCCUAUACAGGAGGAUAACCCGUCGAAAGACGGACUAAUACUGCGUAUGCUCACAACUUGGCAUCAAGUGGUGAGGAAAGAAAUUCGGUAUAGGAUAGGCAUGCGUCCCAUUAGCUUGUUGGUGAGGUAACGGCUCACCAAGGCAACGAUGGGUAGGGGAACUGAGAGGUUUAUCCCCCACGCUGGUACUGAGACACGGACCAGACUCCUACGGGAGGCAGCAGUGAGGAAUAUUGGUCAAUGGGCGCGAGCCUGAACCAGCCAAGUCGCGUGAAGGAUGACUGUCUUAUGGAUUGUAAACUUCUUUUAUACGGGAAUAACAAGAGUCACGUGUGACUCCCUGCAUGUACCGUAUGAAUAAGCAUCGGCUAACUCCGUG